GAUGAAGAACGUAGCGUAAUGCGAUAAGUAAUGUGAAUUGCAGAAUUCAGUGAAUCAUCGAAUCUUUGAACGCACCUUGCGCUCCCUGGUAUUCCUAGGAGCAUGCCUGUUUGAGUGUCAUUAAAUUCUCAACUUCAUCAGUUUUGUUAUGAGACUGUGUGAAGCUUGGAUGUGGGGGCUUGUGCAGAAUGCUUAAUUGUAGGCUGCUCCCCUUAAAUGAAUUAGCGAGUUCAAACUGAGCUCCGUCUAUUGGUGUGAUAAUUAUCUACGCCGUGGAUUGGACUUAGACUUGCUUCUAACCGUCCGCAAGGACAAUCUUUUGACAAUUUGACCUCAAAUCAGGUAGGACUACCCGCUGAACUUAAGCAUAUCAAUAAGCGGAGGA
rnacentral:misc_RNA from 1 species